CCUACGGGUGGCUGCAGUGGGGAAUAUUGCACAAUGGGGGAAACCCUGAUGCAGCGACGCCGCGUGAGUGAAGAAGUAAUUCGUUUCGUAAAGCUCUAUCAGCAGGGAAGAAAAUGACGGUACCUGAGUAAGAAUCCCCGGCUAACUACGUGCCAGCAGCCGCGGUAAUACGGAGGAUGCGGGGGUUAUCCGGAUUUUUUGGGUGUAAAGGGUGCGUAGGCGGGUGAUCAAGUCAGCGGUAAAAUCGUGGAGCUCAACUCCAUCCAGCCGUUGAAACUGAUGAUCUUGAGUGGGCGAGAAGUAUGCGGAAUGCGUGGUGUAGCGGUGAAAUGCAUAGAUAUCACGCAGAACUCCGAUUGCGAAGGCAGCAUACCGGCGCCCGACUGACGCUGAAGCACGAAAGCGUGGGUAUCGAACAGGAUUAGAUACCCGGGUAGUC
rnacentral:rRNA from 1 species